rnacentral:rRNA from 1 species
UACGAAGGGGGCUAGCGUUGCUCGGAAUCACUGGGCGUAAAGGGUGCGUAGGCGGGUCUUUAAGUCAGGGGUGAAAUCCUGGAGCUCAACUCCAGAACUGCCUUUGAUACUGAAGAUCUUGAGUUCGGGAGAGGUGAGUGGAACUGCGAGUGUAGAGGUGAAAUUCGUAGAUAUUCGCAAGAACACCAGUGGCGAAGGCGGCUCACAGGCCCGAUACUGACGCUGAUGCACGAAGGCGUGGGGAGCAAACAGG